GACAAGUCACCUGAAUGGACUAGCACUCUCAGAACCCCCCAACUAGAAUUGCUGUGCUGGUGGGGAAAUCUGGAAGUUGUAGUUCAAAAACUAACUUCUUCAAUUUGCACUGUCUCCUAUACUCAAUGUCCUCCUAGGUAUGUGCCUGCACUCAUUCAAGAAUCUUCUUCCAGUGAUGAAGACUGAAAAUACUCCAGCCUUCAAGGACCAUGAACUGAAUCUGGUCAGAAAGACCUCAUUGGAUUGCAGUUGGUAGAAUUAUACCUUAUUCUCCCCAUUCAAAGAAAAGAAAAGAAAAGAAAAAGAAAAGAAAAUUAAAAAGAGAAAAAGGAGUCCCACCAAUAGCAGGAAUGGGCAAAGUGAUACUGGUGAGCCAUGUCUAGCCCGCCAGGACUCCUUGGACUCCAUAUAUAUCUUUCCAACCUAAAAUGAAAACAGUACAGUAUCCACAAAGGAACACA
rnacentral:lncRNA from 1 species